AAAAAUUGAAGUUCAGUAUUUCAAAAAUUUAAAUAUAUUGUGAAAACACACCUUUACACGUGUCCUGAAUUGUUUUGGUGCUUGAGAUGGGUUUAAAGUCUGAGCUUCACAAAAGUAGUAGAAUGUAUGAAUGAAGUAAAAGAUAAGUGUAUAAAACAUGUCUACUACGCAUAUUCAGUGGGCUGCAUAACGUGGAAGUAAACCCGGAAGCCAGAACUCACUUUUUGUGUGUCCUUUUUUGAGCGCUGUUUGAUUGAUUUUGAAUUAUAUAUUGCCAUGUGUGUUUGUGAAUUUAAACUGUUUUCAGUAAAAUCUAAAACCGGAACAGAAUCGGUCGGCCAAUCAUUGUUUUUCUUCCAAUGUAGCUCACGUAUGUCGUCACUAGCGCGACGUGGUUUGUCAUUGGCCUACGACCUUCUGGGAGGAGCUCAGAGAGGCGGAGAGAGGAAGUGGAAAACAUAUUUAAACUAAGUUUGAAGCAUUGCCUCUGUUUGCCAGUACUGUGCAAAAACGACGUUACCCUGGAGGUUUGGACGCUAAAACAAACUGGAGCUUCUGUUUUUGUCCAACACGAGUGAAGCUGGACGCUGAACACACCUACCAUGCGAAGGUUUACUGGUUCAGAUGCUGCAGCCUGGACAGAAGCUCUCACCUUAUAAACCAAACAGGUGUCUCCACUUCAUCCAGGAUCACAGAGUCUUCAUUGUUUGAAACCAGGACAGAGGCCUCCAGGUGUCUCCACUUUGUCCACGAUCGCAGAGACAUGGUCCAUGAUCAGAGACAUUGUCCCAUGCUUCUCAGAGACCUUGCGAUAGAAUUGGCGGAGACGGGGGUCACCGAUUUGACGGCACUGCCUGUAAUCACAGAGACGUAGUCCACGAGUCUUUGUACAAUGAAGAAGUUCUGUGAGACCAGGAUAGAGGCCUCCAGGUCGACUUGUUCAGCUGCUGCAGCUCGGACAGAAACACGAUCAUCACCUCACUGGUCAACAGGUGUCUCCACUUCGUCCACGACAUCGAGUCUUCAUACAGAAGUUGUUUGAGACCAGGACAGAGGCCUCCAGGAUUAAAACUUGAACCAUUAAACCACAGAGAGAAGAGACAGACAUGAAGACAUUUUCAGAAGGUCUUCAGCUGCAUCGUCUUCCCCUGCAGAGACAAGAACACAUGUUAACCACAGAGGUACAUGAACAGUGUAUUAGAUCCAG